GGAGGAUGCGGUAGGCUACACAUGCAGUCGAGCGGAUGAGAGGAGCUUGCUCCUCGAUUCAGCGGCGGACGGGUGAGUAAUGCCUAGGAAUCUGCCUAGUAGUGGGGGACAACGUUUCGAAAGGAACGCUAAUACCGCAUACGUCCUACGGGAGAAAGUGGGGGAUCUUCGGACCUCACGCUAUUAGAUGAGCCUAGGUCGGAUUAGCUAGUUGGUAGGGUAAAGGCCUACCAAGGCGACGAUCCGUAACUGGUCUGAGAGGAUGAUCAGUCACACUGGAACUGAGACACGGUCCAGACUCCUACGGGAGGCAGCAGUGGGGAAUAUUGGACAAUGGGCGAAAGCCUGAUCCAGCCAUGCCGCGUGUGUGAAGAAGGCCUUCGGGUCGUAAAGCACUUUAAGUUGGGAGGAAGGGCUCAUAGCGAAUACCUGUGAGUUUUGACGUUACCAACAGAAUAAGCACCGGCUAACUUCGUGCCAGCAGCCGCGGUAAUACGAAGGGUGCAAGCGUUAAUCGGAAUUACUGGGCGUAAAGCGCGCGUAGGUGGCUUGAUAAGUUGGAUGUGAAAUCCCCGGGCUCAACCUGGGAACUGCAUCCAAAACUGUCUGGCUAGAGUGCGGUAGAGGGUAGUGGAAUUUCCAGUGUAGCGGUGAAAUGCGUAGAUAUUGGAAGGAACACCAGUGGCGAAGGCGACUACCUGGACUGACACUGACACUGAGGUGCGAAAGCGUGGGGAGCAAACAGGAUUAGAUACCCUGGUAGUCCACGCCGUAAACGAUGUCAACUAGCCGUUGGGAUCCUUGAGAUCUUAGUGGCGCAGCUAACGCAUUAAGUUGACCGCCUGGGGAGUACGGCCGCAAGGUUAAAACUCAAAUGAAUUGACGGGGGCCCGCACAAGCGGUGGAGCAUGUGGUUUAAUUCUAAGCAACGCGAAAAACCUUACCUGGCCUUGACAUGCUGAGAACUUUCCAGAUAUGGAUUGAUGCCUUCGUGAAUUCAGACUC
rnacentral:rRNA from 1 species